GACGAACGCUGGCGGCGUGCUUAACACAUGCAAGUCGAACGGAAAGGCCCUGCUUGCAGGGUACUCGAGUGGCGAACGGGUGAGUAACACGUGGGUGAUCUGCCCUUCACUUCGGGAUAAGCCUGGGAAACUGGGGCUAAUACCGGAUAGGAGCCACUUUUAGUUGGAGGGUUGGAAAGAUUUUUCGGUGUAGGAUGAGCUCGCGGCCUAUCAGCUUGUUGGUGGGGUAGUGGCCUACCAAGGCGGCGACGGGUAGCCGGCCUGAGAGGGUGGACGGCCACAUUGGGACUGAGAUACGGCCCAGACUCCUACGGGAGGCAGCAGUGGGGAAUAUUGCACAAUGGGCGGAAGCCUGAUGCAGCGACGCCGCGUGGGGGAUGACGGCCUUCGGGUUGUAAACUCCUUUCGCUAGGGACGAAGCUUUUUGUGACGGUACCUAGAUAAGAAGCACCGGCUAACUACGUG
rnacentral:rRNA from 1 species